rnacentral:rRNA from 1 species
UGCGUAGGCGGAAAAUUAAGUCAGUGAUGAAAUCCUGCAGCUCAACUGUAGAACUGUCAUUGAUACUGAUUUUCUUGAAUACAGUUGAGGUAGGCGGAAUAUGUAAUGUAGCGGUGAAAUGCUUAGAUAUUACAUAGAACACCAAUUGCGAAGGCAGCUUACUAAACUGUGAUUGACGCUGAGGCACGAAAGCGUGGGGAGCGAACAGGAUUAGAUACCCUGGUAGUCC